rnacentral:lncRNA from 1 species
AUGUAGUUAUUUAUAUCAAAUACUACAGUACUUAGAAGGAUUACCCUAGUCUUUAGGUAAUUGGUACGGUUGUAGUUCGACACUACACCAUAGUACUAUUUCAUAUUCCCAUUACAUUCACUUCGUGAACAUUCACAUAAUGCACGGUAUUCUAGACAUCACAUUAUACCUUAUCCAUCAAAUAAGGCAGUUGAGUACCGAUGUAGUUAUUUAUAUCAAAUACUACAGUACUUAGAAGGAUUACCCUAGUCUUUAGGUAAUUGGUACGGUUGUAGUUCGACACUACACCAUAGUACUAUUUCAUAUUCCCAUUACAUUCACUUCGUGAACAUUCACAUAAUGCACGGUAUUGUAGAAACUAUCUUUUUGAUUAAUGGUAGUCAGACUUGGGAAAAUACGCUCUUACAAGAGACACACACAGACACUAGAUGCCUUGGUAGAAGGCUACGUAUAGAUGAGUUAAGUCUUGGUAGAAGACUCCCUGUUAUAAUAGGAAUCAUAGGGAUUUCUAGGGUUUUUCAAACAUUUACAGUUGUUUUACAAACUUUUUCAUACUUAUAAUUCAUAUACAUUUUAAUACUUACAGUUCAUAUACAUACAAAUUCUUACAUACAAAUUAAGACACUAAAAUACUUAUGAUCUCCCCAGCUUCAAAGUUGAUACUCUCUUUCUAAAUAACUUGUAUCCUCAGGUCAAACAUAGACAGGUACCGAUGCAAGGUUAGAGAAGAUGGAGCUCGUUCAAGACACGUCUUUCAUUUUCAUUUAUGCUUUAGUGUUUAUAUAAAUUUGACAGAACACACUUGUAUAAUAAUUAUAUUAUUAAUGCAAUGGAUGAUGUUGUUGCUUUUUUACUACUUUUCAUUGUUGUGAUACUGUACAUGAUGUCCUCUGCUCCAUAACAUUUCCGCCGUUCUUGGUUUUAGGGUGUGAUAGAUUGGUAUCAGAGCAUUGUUUAUAGUGAAUUAAGUAUAUCAACCCAUAAAAGAUAUACUAACUAUAAAUACAUAAGGGAUUAAAACUACUCUAACCAAGAGUUUAUACUUUAAAUAAUAAAAUAUUUAAUAAAGUAUACGUGCCUGCAUUCAUACUAAAAUCAGUGUCACUAGGACAGUACAAAAGAAUUACGAUUGUUGGGCAACAUAGGUGGGCUUAGAGACAUAUGGUCAAAACUGGAAACAUAUAGCCUGAUCACCUAUAUUAUCCGAGGGUUGAGUAGCAUGUGACUAAGUUUAAUUGUGUGGUUGCAACAAGUCUAAAAUCUUACCAACCCUACCACAAUGAGAACAGUAGAACAUAACAUUAAACAUAAAAUACUAUAGGAGUAUUCGGUGUUACUAUAAGUACGUUAUAGUUGAGAACUAAAACGGGAUCUUCAUUACUAAGUUGAUAGUUGCUAAGUGGAUACA